UUGUUUGAACCGCAUGGUUCAGACAUAAAAGGUGGCUUCGGCUACCACUUACAGAUGGACCCGCGGCGCAUUAGCUAGUUGGUGGGGUAACGGCUCACCAAGGCGACGAUGCGUAGCCGACCUGAGAGGGUGAUCGGCCACACUGGGACUGAGACACGGCCCAGACUCCUACGGGAGGCAGCAGUAGGGAAUCUUCCGCAAUGGACGAAAGUCUGACGGAGCAACGCCGCGUGAGUGAUGAAGGUUUUCGGAUCGUAAAGCUCUGUUGUUAGGGAAGAACAAGUGCCGUUCAAAUAGGGCGGCACCUUGACGGUACCUAACCAGAAAGCCACGGCUAACUACGUGCCAGCAGCCGCGGUAAUACGUAGGUGGCAAGCGUUGUCCGGAAUUAUUGGGCGUAAAGGGCUCGCAGGCGGUUUCUUAAGUCUGAUGUGAAAGCCCCCGGCUCAACCGGGGAGGGUCAUUGGAAACUGGGGAACUUGAGUGCAGAAGAGGAGAGUGGAAUUCCACGUGUAGCGGUGAAAUGCGUAGAGAUGUGGAGGAACACCAGUGGCGAAAGGCGACUCUCUGGUCUGUAACUGACGCU
rnacentral:rRNA from 1 species